rnacentral:tRNA from 2 species
UCUAAUAUGGCAGAUAAGUGCAAUGGAUUUAAGCCCCAUAUAUAAAGGAUUUUCUUUUAUUAGAA